UAGCGUUGGGCUGAGGGUGGAGCUGUUGGGUGACUGGAGUCUCAGGAUUGGAGCGGGUUUGGUGCAUGCUCAAAAAGGGAGCUGGAGGUUUAUUUCUGCAAUUCGAGGAAGAACACACAAGUUACUUUUGGAGAGAUGAGUUAGGCGGACGUCAUGUUAGUGAUUGCUCAGACUCAGGCUGACAGAAUCUGCCAAUCCCCACCUAGCUUCCCGAAUCCCAGGAAGUUGCCCACUCUUGGGCCUGCGAGCUGCCCCAGCCAGUGUGGAAAACUUCCAUGUUCACCCCCAAAACCUUCGCGACGUUCCACCCACCUCCAAAAUUGAUCCACUUCUGGCCAGGACUGAACGGACCUCUGGGACCAGCGCUGCCUCAGGGCCUCUGGUACACCGAGCCGAGCCCACACUGUGUCCUCGCCUUUCCUUAAUUUUAUUUUGAGACAGGAUCUAGGAAACAAUUCCUUGACUCCUACUGAUAUAAGAGGUUCUGAGACUCUGGCAUCCAGUUCCCUGGAUUGAUAAAGGGUCACUUGGGGUGGACAGGCCAGCUCAAGUCCAUCCUCUGGAACCAAUGGUGCCCGCCUGGUUGCUUAGCACUCAACAGUCCACCAACCACAGCUGGGAGAGUGGAGGCUGGUGCUUGCUCCCCACACCUGCCGCACUGCUCCAGUGCACUCGGAAACCGGAAACCGCAAGGUUCCCUGGCUGUGACUGAGAGAGGUUCCCAAACUAGCUGUGCUUGCAGUAAAGUGCGCGGGCCACUUAUGCCAGGUUGCCAGGCCUCUGGAACUGGUGGUGCCUGCCUGCUUGCUUAGCACUCCACAGUCCUCCAAGCACAGCCAGGAACGGAACGGGGAGAUAGAUGCAGGCAUCCCAGCCCCACCAAGCUGUUGCAGUGCACCUGGAAGCCACGAGAUUCCCAAACAAGCUGGACUCGGAGGGAAAGUGCACAGAGCAUUUACGCUAGGCCGCUGGGCCUCUGGAACUAGUGGCGCCCACCUGCUUGCUUAGAACUCCACAGUACUUCAAGCACAGCCAGGAAUGGGAAGGUGGAUACAGGCACCCCAGACCUGCCGAGCUGUUCCAGUGCACCCGGAAGCCAUGAGGGUCCCAAACAAGCUGAACUUGGGGGAAAGUGCUCGGGGCACUUACCCCAGUACGAGAGGUCUCUGGAACGGGUGGCACCCGCAUGCUUGCUUAGAACUCCACCUGAUCAACUAUUUCUAAGAUGACAAUAUGUAAUUUGUUAACUAGUGAUUUCUUACUGUUUUUUUUAAUUCUGUAUGACUUGUACCCUUUUACUGUUUUGUUUUUCUCUUUAAGUAAAAAAAAUUUUAAAAAAAUAUCAACUCUGUCUUUACAAUCUAUAGCAUUCCUGGAAAUUCCCCUCCCCAAACUCACAGUAUUGCAAAUUAUCCUGUUGAGCUCUUUGCUUUUGAUUUGCAGCAUAAAGCUGGCUAACAGCCCCCAACAAUAGCCAUGCCACAGAAAGCAUUUUCUCUUUUACCUUUUUACUUUAUUCAAAACCACUUUUUUUUACUUAUUACUAGUCAAUUACUUUUUCUCUUGAUUGUCAGACAACAUUAAAACCUUUA